AACGCGAUAGCUCAGCUGGUGGAGCAUCUGCCCGGUAAGCGGAGUGUCGCCGGUUCGAUUCCGGCUCGCGGCG
rnacentral:tRNA from 1 species